CAGCAGCCGCGGUAAUACAGAGGGUGCGAGCGUUAAUCGGAUUUACUGGGCGUAAAGCGUGCGUAGGCGGCUUUUUAAGUCGGAUGUGAAAUCCCUGAGCUUAACUUAGGAAUUGCAUUCGAUACUGGGAAGCUAGAGUAUGGGAGAGGAUGGUAGAAUUCCAGGUGUAGCGGUGAAAUGCGUAGAGAUCUGGAGGAAUACCGAUGGCGAAGGCAGCCAUCUGGCCUAAUACUGACGCUGAGGUACGAAAGCAUGGGGAGCAAACAGGAUUAGAUACCCCCGUAGCCCUGUCUCUUAUACA
rnacentral:rRNA from 1 species